ensembl:snRNA U1 U1 spliceosomal RNA
AUACUUACCUGGCAGGGGAGAUACCAUGAUCACGAAAGUGGUUUUCCCAGGGUGAGGCUUAUCCAUUGCUCUCUGGAUGUGCUGACCCCUGCGAUUUCCCCAAAUGUGGGAAACUCAACUGCAUAACUUGUGGUAGUGGGGGACUGCGUUUGCGCUCUCCCCUG